ACAAAAAAGUUUAAAAAAAAAUUUAAAGGCUUAUAGAAAAAGGAUAUAAAGACAGAAAAUAACUUGUACGGCUGUACAGUAUGUUUGUUUAAAGCUAGGUGCUAUUAUAAGAGUCCAAAAGUUAAAAAAAUUGAAAGUUUAUGAAGUAAAAAUGUUAGAGUAAAUUUAUUAUUGAAGAAAGAAAAGUUUUCAAUCAAUGUGUAGCAUAAGUGUACAGCAUUUUUUAGAGUCUACAGUAGUGUAUAGUAAUGUCCUAGGCCUCAUACUCCCUCCACUCACUCACUCACCCAGAGCAACUUCCAGUCCUGCAAGCUCCAUUCAUGGUGGACCAUUUUUAAUCUUUAUAACAUUUUUACUGUAAUUUUUCUAUGUUUAGAUACACCAAUACCAUUGUGUUACAAUGGCCUAUAGUAUUCAGUACAGUAACAUGUUGUACAGCUUUGUAGCCUAGGAGCAAUAGGCUGUACCAUCUAGCCUAGGUGUGUAGCAGGCUGUACUAUGCAGGUUUGUUCACACGACGAUGAAAUCUAAUGAUGAAUUUCCCAGAAUGUAUCCCUGUUGUUAAGGGAUACAUUGUUAAGCGGUGUGUGACUAUAUGUAUAUAUAUAUAUAUAUAUAUAUGCACUAUAUAGAGAGACACACUAUUUUGUGUGUGUCUCUGUGAGUGUGUGUGUGUGUGUGUGUUUAUUCCUUCUCUCCAGUUCAGCCUUAGGAAAAGGGAAAGCUUGUGAACGUGUCCUCGGGAACUUGGUUUGCUGAAUUAACAGGUGAAGGUAACAUCUCAAGAGCUCAGUAGACCCUUCUGCCCAAAUGCAGUUGGCAGUCCUUGGUCAGGCUUCACCUGAGUGGAGGCCAGGGAUUAGAGCUACCAAGCAGAUUGCAGGUGGGAGGUUGUGGUUGACUUUUUGGAAGUCAUUAGUACAAAUGCUUUUAGUGCCUUUAGCCCCUGGGGUUUUACAAGGUCACCGCGUGAUUGGGAUAAGCACGGUAAACUCUACGACCAGAAGGUGUUUCCAUGCCACGUGAUUGGGAUAAGCACGGUAAACUCUAAGACCAGAAGGUGUUUCCAUGCCACGUGAUUGGGAUAAGCACGGUAAACUCUACAACCAGAAGGUGUUUCCAUGCCACGUGAUUGGGAUAAGCACGGUAAACUCUAAGACCAGAAGGUGUUUCCAUGCCACGUGAUUGGGAUAAGCACGGUAAACUCUAAGACCAGAAGGUGUUUCCAUGCCACGUGAUUGGGAUAAGCACGGUAAACUCUAAGACCAGAAGGUGUUUCCAUGCCACGUGAUUGGGAUAAGCACGGUAAACUCUACAACCAGAAGGUGUUUCCAUGUCACUGGGGCUGUGGAGUGUGGCCCUAGCACUGUCACUAAAAAUCCGAGGGCUGUGGGAGCUCUGGGAGCUUGGCUUAGCCAGAGCCACCUCCUCUUUCCCACUUGGAGGCUAGGGGCAAUCCUGCGCCUGACCCUGGGUUGUGCAAUGGAGUGAAGGGGACUUAGGGCGGUCAAGAGCCAGAGGCAUUGCCGAAUUCCUGGGUGGCUUGCAGUCAUCAUGAUACGCUGACCUGGUUGCAAUCAUUUUUAUGGUGAAUUAUUCAAUACAGCAAAGUAAUCUGGCCCUUAUCUCUGCCCAGUCAUUCUAUAAUGAAGAGGCACGGGGUGGAGCCCGGGGACACCCUCGGUGGCAUUGUCGGGCCACAUACCUUUCCCCUCACAUCCUGCGACAGCUGAAUCCGAGCCCGAGGACCACGUGCGGGGCGGUCUCCAGUGUGGAUGGCAGCCCGGCUGGAACGCACUGGCAGGUGGUCCCUGUGCCCCAGAGGCCCCGUUUCCUUCCGGAAGCGAGGCUGCAACUGCUCCAGAUACCCAGCAGGAAGGCCACGUGACAACGGGAGGGGCACUCCUGUGUGUGUAGGGGCGAGGGGGUGGCGGUGCCAGGGUCCUGCAGUUCACCAGGUGCCCACGUGCCUGCCACCCGAGCGCCAUUCACUCCCGACCGCGGGGACCUGGGGCACAGCCGGGCCCACUGCGGCGAGGCGAGGAGAUGUGGGGAGAGGAAGAGCGGCGUCCACGAUGUGCUCAUUUAGGCUUGAUUUUCCUCCUGCCCUCCUGUCUCCCUCCCUGGCUUCACCCACAAGGCUUUCUUCUCGGGCUGAUUUCUGUGGGAGCUCUCUAGGCAGAACCCUCAGUCUCUGAAAGUCGGGUUCGUCGUCCGGGUCUGCGCAGGGCAUGGAUCUUGAGCGCUUGGAAUGUGACUUAACUGAGAAACGCUACUUUAUUUUAAUAAGUUUACAUCUAAAAGCCGAUCAUUGAUUCCAUUAUUUGGAAAACAACUUCUAAGUGUGUUUGGAGCAACUCGGAUAUUGGAAUCUUUUAAACUGUAAAUUUUAUGAAAUCUAAAUAACGACCAAAUAUCUACAAGGAAAAUCUAGCAUCUGAAUCGAGUGUGCUGUCAGUGUAAAACACACACCAGAUUUCAAAGAUUUACUGCAGAAAAAAACACAUGAAAAUACUGGUUACAUGUGGAAAUGAUAGUAUUUUAGAUCUGUUGGAUUAUCUAAAAUUAAAUUUAAAUUAAUGUCA